UUCAUGUAGCUCAGGCUAGCCUUCAAUUUGCUAUGUAGCUGCAGAUAAUCCUCUUGCUGCCUCUGUGUGGUGCUGGGGAUCAAACCCAGGGCUUUCUGAAGUCUAGGCAAGCACUCUACCCAUAGAGCUACAUCCCCAAUUUCUAGUUUUUAUUUUUAUUUUUACCAGGCACAAUUUUAUAAAGCCCAGGAUGGCUUCAAACUCACCUGAAAUCCCAGCUCUUGGGAGGCAGUCAGGAGGAUCAGGAAUUCGAGAGCAAGGCCAGCAAUCUGGAUACCGGUGAAGUUGUCGAGGCCAUGGCAAGACUCUCCUGUGAUGAUCCUGGUACAGAAGCUCGCUGAAAGAAUAUUAAAAAGAACACUUCGUAUGGCUGGACUGGUGGUUGCAGGUAUUAUGGGAAUCAUUGCAUUGACAGCUACAGCAACAACUACUGACUGGAGUGGCACUUCAUAAAGAAAUCCAAACCGCUGAAUUCAUUAAAGACUGGCACAGGCAUUCAGAAGAACUUUGGACUGAACAAAGUAAAAUUGAUAAUGAGAGGCAUUCAGAAGAACUUUGGACUGAACAAAGUAAAACUGAUAAUGAGAUAGUAAAUGAGUUAGCUGAACUAAGACAAGCUGUUGUAUUGUUAGGGGAUCAGUUAGAGAUUUUAAAGAAGCAGUUAAAAUUAAAAUAUGUUCGGAAUGUU